AGCGAACGCUGGCGGCAGGCUUAACACAUGCAAGUCGAACGCAUCCUUCGGGGUGAGUGGCAGACGGGUGAGUAACACGUGGGAACAUACCUUUUGGUUCGGAAUAACUCAUGGAAACGUGAGCUAAUACCGGAUACGCCCUUUUGGGGAAAGAUUUAUUGCCGAAAGAUUGGCCCGCGUCUGAUUAGCUAGUUGGUGAGGUAAUGGCUCACCAAGGCGACGAUCAGUAGCUGGUCUGAGAGGAUGAUCAGCCACACUGGGACUGAGACACGGCCCAGACUCCUACGGGAGGCAGCAGUGGGGAAUAUUGGACAAUGGGCGCAAGCCUGAUCCAGCAAUGCCGCGUGAGUGAUGAAGGCCUUCGGGUCGUAAAGCUCUUUUACCAGGGAUGAUAAUGACGGUACCUGGAGAAUAAGCUCCGGCUAACUCCGUGCCAGCAGCCGCGGUAA
rnacentral:rRNA from 1 species